UCGGUUUGAAGGAGUUUCACAAUGAAAUGAAAAGGAGGAUGAGAUUCAACAAUUGAAACAAAAGGUGGAAAAGUUGGAGCCUAUAGUUGAGAUGCUCUUGAAGGCAAUCUCAUAUAGGCAAGAGAAAUACAAGAAUGGCUAGGAAGGGAUUCAAAUAGGCAAGAUCUGUUGUGGAGAAUAGCGAUGUCGGAAAUGCUGGGCAUUUCAACACAUUGGCUUGCUUCGCAGGCGUCCUACUCCUCGUUGUUUCGAACAGAGCUGCCAAGUUCACCGAAGGCUCCUGCGAGACUAUAAGAGGACAAAUCUGGUGGUGUUGAUGGACAAGGCAGCGCAAAAGUAGGUGAAGAGUCUUCCUGUUACCACAGCGGGAAGAAGCGUCAGAGACGGAAGGACGGCAUUCGCGAGUUGGUCUGCUCACCACGUUUGGAGUCAAGCCCUAUGCCGAAAUGGGUCAAGCUGUCGCCUGCUCUACCUUGACCAACCCCGGCGAUGCUACUGCUCUUGGUUCUCCAGCAUGUGUCUAUGUACAUGUUUUUUUCAUCAUUAAUUAUGCGUCAUAUUAUUCAUGCGUCAUUAGUUAUUCGUCAUAUCACUCAUGACCACUAGUUCCCUACUAUUUGAUGAACUUCUUGCCAAAAAAAGAAAAGAAAAGAAGCUCCUCAUUCCAAAACCUUCACUUAAUGAUCAAUCACCUUUCUGUUUC